GUCAGUGUGUCCGAGUGGUUAAGGAGACAGACUCGAAACCUGUUGGGCUUUGCCCGCGCAGGCUCGAUUCCUGCUGAUGACG
rfam:Selaginella moellendorffii unplaced genomic scaffold SELMOscaffold_56, whole genome shotgun sequence.